rnacentral:ncRNA from 1 species
CCCUGACAGUCCGGGGUUCGGACUGACACUAGCCACGACAGGAGAUAAAAAUG